rnacentral:rRNA from 1 species
UAAUAUGUACAUGCCUACAACAUUAAUGCACUGGGUCCCAUUAGAACUCCACAAUUAAGCGCGUUUGGGCUGGAGUAGUACUGGGAUGGGUGACCUCCUAGGAAGUCCUAGUGUUUUACAUGCC